rnacentral:rRNA from 1 species
CCUACGGGAGGCUGCAGUGGGGGAUAUUGCACAAUGGACGAGAGUCUGAACCAGCCAAGUAGCGUGAAGGAUGACUGCCCUAUGGGUUGUAAACUUCUUUUAUAUGGGACUAAAUUGUUCCACGUGUGGGAUUUUGUAUGUACAAUAUGAAUCAGGAUCGGCUAACUCCGUGCCAGCAGCCGCGGUAAUACGGAGGAUCCGAGCGUUAUCCGGAUUGAUUGGGUUUAAAGGGAGCGUAGGGGGAUUGUUAAGUCAGUUGUGAAAGUUUGCGGCUCAACCGUAAAAUUGAAGUUGAAACUGGCAGUCUUGAGUACAGUAGAGGUGGGCGGAAUUCGUGGUGUAGCGGUGAAAUGCUUAGAUAUCACGAAGAACUCCGAGUGCGAAGGCAGUUCACUGGACUGCAACUGACACUGAGGCUCGAAAGUGUGGGUAUCAAACAGGAGUAGAUACCCUAGUAGUC